GGUCCUACGGGAGGCAGCAGUGAGGAAUAUUGGUCAAUGGGCGGAAGCCUGAACCAGCCAAGUCGCGUGAGGGAAUAAGGCCCUACGGGUCGUAAACCUCUUUUGCCGGGGAGCAAGGGCCGGGACGCGUCCCGGCCCGGAGAGUACCCGGAGAAAAAGCAUCGGCUAACUCCGUGCCAGCAGCCGCGGUAAUACGGAGGAUGCGGGCGUUAUCCGGAUUUAUUGGGUUUAAAGGGUGCGUAGGCGGGCUUUUAAGUCAGCGGUUAAAAUUCGGGGCUCAACCCCGGUCG
rnacentral:rRNA from 1 species